UGGGGAAUUUUCCGCAAUGGGCGCAAGCCUGACGGAGCAAUACCGCGUGAGGGAGGAAGGCUUUUGGGUUGUAAGCCUCUUUUCUCAAGGAAGAAGCACUGACGGUACUUGAGGAAUCAGCAUCGGCUAACUCCGUGCCAGCAGCCGCGGUAAUACGGAGGAUGCAAGCGUUAUUCGGAAUUAUUGGGCGUAAAGCGUCCGCAGGUGGUGCCUCAAGUCUGCUGUCAAAGACCGAAGCUCAACUUCGGGCAGGCAGUGGAAACUGAAGCACUUGAGGCCUGUAGAGGUAUGUGGAAUUGCCGGUGUAGUGGUGAAAUGCGUAGAGAUCGGCAGGAACACCCAGGGGGAAGCCAGCAUACUGGACAGGUCCUGACACUCAGGUGCGACAGCGUGGGGAGCGAACCGGAUUAGAUACCCGUGUAGUCC
rnacentral:rRNA from 1 species